UAAAUUCAAAGAUAACUCUUGAAUUAGAGCUUCUGCAUACUGCUCAGGGCUAUAAAUGUGACUUGUUGGGUAGAAUUGGGGAAGAAAGUAAUUGUUUAUGUAAUCGUUACUUCCAAUAUUCACAUAAUACAAGCAUUUGUUAAGGUAUUGUUGAGCUUUGUCAAUACCUCCAAGUCUGCUAGCAAUUUGAGAAACUAUAACUCUGUGAUUUCUUAACUGUAAUCCCAAGCUAAUAGCAUAACCCUGUACGGACAUAAUGUUAUUUUUGCGGCAUGUGUAUGAGUAAUGUAACAAAAAUACUCUAAUCAUCUACUAAAAACUAAUUUAAACCUUAGCUGAGUAUGUCUCCAUACGAAUUCCAGCUCCGCCAGAUGCAUAGUUCACACCUUUGAGUAUGUCUGAACCACUGAUGUUUGCAAAUGGUGGAAUGAAAUUCUCAAAUCCAAGAAGUUGAGCUGCAAUCAAAAGGACUUGAGUUUGAGCUUAAUUAAAAAGAGAGAUUAAAUUUGAUAAUAAUAUAGCCAAGUUGAAAGAAUGUUACUUAUUAUGUCAAUUGCAGUUCUACCGUUGGUAAAUCUUCCGGUUGGACCCAUCGGAAAGUCAAUUCCAUAAGGUUUGUAAUUAGAUUUUGCAGAGGUAGGAAGGUUAUUGUUGUUUCCACUAUCAGAUAAAGAAUCUCCAAAGAUAAAUACACAAGGCACUUGAGAUUUCCCAUUGACACAUUGUUUAAAAUAGUUUGCAGACAAGAAAACAAUAAGAACCACCAACCAUGUUUUGAUUAUAGAUUCCAUCUCUAAGAAGAAAGUCUAAUGAAGCUACAGAAUCCAGAUGAUAAUUAAGGAACCAACCAAGAACAAACAAGUUGAAGACAUAAAUAUUAAUGAUGGGACCACUCAAUUUUAAAAAAGAAAAUAUUGGUUUUUUGCAAGUUAUUACAUUAUUAAAAGCUAAUUUACUCUACACACUACAAAGUAUCAUGUGUGGCAUGCCAUCGAACUAUAAAAACUAAUUUCUUCAUAUUGAAGCAAUAAACUAAAACAUAAAAUUAUACUAUAAACUAAGAAACUCGCCUUAGUCAAAUUAAGGGUGCCACAACUAUUCCUUAGCGUUAGCGAGCAAUAAUAUAUUCACCACAAACUCAAAGCUUCUUGAAAUGUUCUUAAGAAGAUGGAAAGAGUUUGAAAAAACUAUAUACUAACUACUUCAUAUAUAUAUAUACCCUCCGGUCACUAAUAUAAGCAAAAAUUCACUUUUAAAAUACAUUCAAUUAAUGAUAUAUGUGACAUAUAAUAAAGACCACAUACAUCAUUAAUUGAAUGUAUCUAAAAAGUAGAUUUUUGCUUAUAUUAGUGACCGGAGGGUGUAUAUAUCUUAAGAAAGACACGUUAUCAACAUGUUGAAAUAAUACUACCGGAAAAAUUGCAAUCGCGGGCCCCACUUUUCUGUUCUGUAGUGAAUGGUAGAAAAGGACUAUUUCAGACUUUCAGUUGGGGUGCCAACUUUUAUAUAUGUUGGUAGUACAUUAUUGAGUAAUGAUACAUAGACACCCUUUAUUCCCAUACACCCUUGUACACGCCAUGCAUUAGGAAGAGAAAAGAGAAAGUGUGCUUGUGCGGGAUCCACGUGACUACGUGUCAGAUUUUUAUGUGGGUGUCAAAGGGUGUAUUGCCACCUAAGAGUGUCUAUGUAUCAUUACUCUACAUUAUUAGAUUGAAUGAAUGGUCUCUGAUUUCUUAUAUGUUGUUAAUUAACUCCGUUUGAAAGUUGGAAGCACUUUUCUUGGUUAGUGCGCAUAUGUAGCGCCGACACUUUUAAUAGAAGGUGUGUUUGGUGUCCGACACUAACAAGAACAACACAUGAGUUCUCUUAAUACUGAAGGAUGUUUAGCUUGAUAGUUUAGUGAUAGAAAAUCCAUUUUUGUUUUCAUUCUGCAUCAAAGGACCAUUACAGUAAGCCAUGGUUUAGUGAAGCCUGAACUAUAUGUAUAUCAUCAUAUGACCUUAUUGCAGUGAGUAGGUUCCAAGCCUCAGUGGGACGAAAUUAACAAUUGUAAAAACCAACUCAACUAUCAUCAUUAUCAUCCACUUAAAUUUGAUCCACCUCCUUUGCUAAAGUUAUCAACUAGCUUAUCAAACACAAAUCGGAUCAAACUUGAGGUAGCAGAACAUAUUACACUUAUUUUAUUUAAUUCUAGUUUACAGUAGUCCGUACAAUUUGAUAUUAAAAGAUUGUUUCAAAUGUAGGUAGGACAAGAAUUAAUGAACGUGUACAAAUAACUUGAACCUAUUUAACUAGAGGCACUAAGCUGUGAAGUGAAAUCCAAUUCCAUUUCAAUUUCUUGUUCAACAAGGUUCUUAAUAUCCAUUGGAUAAGUGAACCCUGAAUUAUGUGAAUUAUAAGACCUUAUUGCAUAGAGUUGGUUGCUUGCCUCAGUGGGAUGGACUUCAUCCCAAAACGCAUACUCACUCCUAUUAUAGCAUGGCCUUUCAUCAGGAAUACACCCUGAUGGGCAACAAGGAACAUUUGAAACCAAAAACCCUGAAAGCCAUGGAACAUGUAGCAUGUUUAUAUAUUGUAUAAACUUCAAUCAAUCACAUUAAAUUGCAAUUAAUUAUAGUAUAUGAAUUGAAAUUUAAGUAAACUAAAAUUAUUACCAUCUGAAUUCUGGGCAUCUGACUCUAACGUAGUGUUUACAAAUAUGAAUUUGGAAUCAGCGGAGAACUUAUUAUUGAAAUGAUCCACUAAAAAUUUAAGCUUGAAAUUGAAAAUCAAUGCAGGGGCAUUUUCCUCAUCAACGCAGGACCCGUUUGUUCCAUGAGUAAAGAUGGCACUUGGUGUGCAGCCCAAAAGGCCUAACCCUACUAACACAUAUUUUCUAGCUCCAAUGUCAUGUAAAGUCUGUUACAAAUAAUAGAUGGCAUUAUUAAACCAUCCUGUGUAACUCCAAAUAAUAUGCUACUAUUGUAAUUUUCCAAAUCAUUUUGUGAAAACUAAAAACAAAGGUCAAACACAGAGUUUGAGUGGAUACCAAUAAAUUUAAAGAUAACUCUUGAAUUAGAGCUUCUGCAUAUUGCUCAGGGCUAUAAAUUUGACUUGUUGGGUAGAAUUGAGGACGAAAGUAAUUGUUUAUGUAAUCAUUACUGCCAAUAUUCACAUAAUACAAGCAUUUGCUAAGGUAUUCUUGAGCUUUGUCAAUACCUUCAAGUCUGCUAGCAAUUCGAGAAACUAUAACUUUGUGAUUUUCUAACUGUAAUCCCAAACUGAUAACAAAACCCUGCACAGAAAUAAUGUUAUUUUGGUGGCAUAUGUAUGAGCAAUGUGACAAAAAUACACAAGUCAUCUACUAAUAACUAAUUGAAGAUAAUGAUGAACAAUCAAAUAAAUGAAAAGGCUCUUUGAUCA
rnacentral:lncRNA from 1 species